rnacentral:rRNA from 1 species
GGGGGAUAACACUUGAAAACAGGUGCUAAUACCGCAUAACCAUAGUUACCGCAUGGUAACUAUGUAAAAGGUGGCUAUGCUACCGCUUUUGGAUGGGCCCGCGACGCAUUAGCUAGUUGGUGGGGUAAAGGCUUACCAAGGCAAUGAUGCGUAGCCGAACUGAGAGGUUGAUCGGCCACAUUGGGACUGAGGCACGGCCCAAACUCCUACGGGAGGCAGCAGUAGGGAAUCUUCCACAAUGGGCGAAAGCCUGAUGGAGCAACGCCGCGUGGGUGAAGAAGGUCUUCGGAUCGUAAAACCCUGUUGUUAGAGAAGAAAGUGCGUGAGGGUAACUGUUCACGUUUCGACGGUAUCUAACCAGAAAGCCACGGCUAACUACGUGCCAGCAGCCGCGGUAAUACGUAGGUGGCAAGCGUUAUCCGGAUUUAUUGGGCGUAAAGAGAACGCAGGCGGUCUUUUAAGUCUGAUGUGAAAGCCUUCGGCUUAACCGGAGUAGUGCAUUGGAAACUGGGAGACUUGAGUGCAGAAGAGGAGAGUGGAACUCCAUGUGUAGCGGUGAAAUGCGUAGAUAUAUGGAAGAACACCAGUGGCGAAAGCGGCUCUCUGGUCUGUAACUGACGCUGAGGUUCGAAAGCGUGGGUAGCAAACAGGAUUAGAUACCCUGGUAGUCCACGCCGUAAAC